AACGAACGCUGGCGGCAUGCCUAACACAUGCAAGUCGAACGAGACCUUCGGGUCUAGUGGCGCACGGGUGCGUAACGCGUGGGAACCUGCCCUUAGGUUCGGAAUAACUCCCCGAAAGGGGUGCUAAUACCGGAUAAUGUCUUCGGACCAAAGAUUUAUCGCCUUUGGAUGGGCCCGCGUUGGAUUAGCUAGUUGGUAGGGUAAAAGCCUACCAAGGCGACGAUCCAUAGCUGGUCUGAGAGGAUGAUCAGCCACACUGGGACUGAGACACGGCCCAGACUCCUACGGGAGGCAGCAGUGGGGAAUAUUGGACAAUGGGCGAAGGCCUGAUCCAGCAAUGCCGCGUGAGUGAUGAAGGCCGUAGGGUUGUAAAGCUCUUUUAGACGGGAUGAUAAUGACAGUACCGGGAGAAUAAGCACCGGCUAACUCCGUG
rnacentral:rRNA from 1 species